rnacentral:rRNA from 1 species
GACGAACGCUGGCGGCGUGCUUAACACAUGCAAGUCGAACGAAGAGCGAUGGAAGCUUGCUUCUAUCAAUCUUAGUGGCGAACGGGUGAGUAACGCGUAAUCAACCUGCCCUUCAGAGGGGGACAACAGUUGGAAACGACUGCUAAUACCGCAUACGAUCUAAUCUCGGCAUCGAGGAUAGAUGAAAGGUGGCCUCUACAUGUAAGCUAUCACUGAAGGAGGGGAUUGCGUCUGAUUAGCUAGUUGGAGGGGUAACGGCCCACCAAGGCGAUGAUCAGUAGCCGGUCUGAGAGGAUGAACGGCCACAUUGGGACUGAGACACGGCCCAGACUCCUACGGGAGGCGCAGUGGGGAAUCUUCCGCAAUGGACGAAAGUCUGACGGAGCAACGCCGCGUGAGUGAUGACGGCCUUCGGGUUGUAAAGCUCUGUUAAUCGGGACGAAAGGCCUUCUUGCGAAUAGUGAGAAGGAUUGACG